UACGGAGGAUGCGAGCGCUAUCUGGAUUUAUUGGGUUUAAAGGGUGCGUAGGCGGAUUUUUAAGUCAGCGGUAAAAUGUCCGGGCUCAACCCGGGCCGGCCGUUGAAACUGGGGAUCUUGAGUGGGCGAGAAGUAUGCGGAAUGCGUGGUGUAGCGGUGAAAUGCAUAGAUAUCACGCAGAACUCCGAUUGCGAAGGCAGCAUACCGGCGCCCGACUGACGCUGAGGCACGAAAGCGUGGGGAUCGAACAGG
rnacentral:rRNA from 1 species